GGGGAUGCUGGGCUUCGAAUAUGCGAAAUAGUAUAAUAUGAGCACGUCGAGCAGGUGUAUUUGCCUCGUAAAACCUUGUACACAACUGAUAAGUGCAAACUCUAUCAAAAGCAAUGCGCGGGUAUUAGCUUCAAGCUUCAUGCCAAACUUUGCUACCGCUUCAGCGUAAUUACGUAGAAGCCAUCUACCUUGCUGAUGCCUGAUGGGCGAGAAUGGAUGUCAUAUUAUCAGGAUAGAGUUACGUGGAUUGCAUACCCUCCGUAAUUCAAAAUUUAUGUACGCACGCGUACGGGUAAAGGAUGUCGAUCUCCCUCCCGCACAUGUACCAACGACCGACUACACGUGUAGACCAUAUUACGACUGUCGUAUAUCACGCGGGUUCAACUCCCGCCAUCUCCACCA
rnacentral:tmRNA from 1 species